GCCACACCCCCACGGGAAACAGCAGUGAUUAACCUUUAGCAAUAAACGAAAGUUUAACUAAGCUAUAC
rnacentral:rRNA from 14 species